GGCUCCAGCCCUGACGCGCCCCCGCCGCCGCCGCGCGUCCGCCGGCUACACUUCCUCUUCCUCUGAACUCAUGUACAAAAUAUGCUGCGCUGCAUCUUCGGGGGAAGCCGCGCGGCCCCUGACAGCCGCCGUGGGAGCAGCGGUCCCGCCCAGCGCCCCCUCCGCUCCCUGCACCCCCUCACCGCUCCACGCUGCCGCCUCCACGCGGCCAGCGACCCGCGCGCCGCACGCCCAACCACCUGGGGAGCGACCUUCGCCACCCCACGGCCCAGGAGCCCGAGACUCACGGGCCCACCCUCUUGACCUCUCCUCACCAAGGUUGUGUGCAGUCAACAGCGCGCGUGGAGACUUGGAUCAGCUUUCUCAAGAUUUGAGACGAGGUGCUGGAAAAGCUACUGCCACCAAGGGACAAUCUCGAUUCCAGAAUUUGGAGCAAGAGUCAUGCAUGUGAAGACUUGAUUACCCAGGAGAUGCUGUGUGGCUGCAGCCUUCGGGCUGGAGGGAUUUGAGAACAGGAAGUCAAAGCUCAAGAAAAGGAGGCCUUAUAAUUUUUGAUGGUACACCUGGAAAGAGGGGGCUACUGACAAACAUCUUCCCCACCAUGUGAAGAAAGCACACCUCUAGAGUGACAAAAUGAGGCCUUACCGACACAGAGAUGUGCAGAACUGAGAUAGUAUGUGACAGCAAGACAGACAAAAUGAACUACAAUCUCAACAAUCUUGCUAAAGUCUCUGGAUCUAGCUGUGAAUGGACUUCCAUUCUUGGGAUGUGAGCCCGCAGCCUGCAGCCUGUCCAGCAGAUUUUGGGAUUCCCCAGCUUCUGCAACCCUGUGAGCCAGCAGCCUUCAGCCUGACCUGCCAAAUUUGGGUUCAUCAGCCCCUGAAACCAAAUGAGUCAGAAGAAGCCUCCAGUCUGACACCUGAUGCAAGGAUUUGGGACUUGCCAGCCUCCACAACUGUGUGAGCCAUUUCCUGGCUUGAAAUAAAUCUGACCAAAAGGUCAGAAAUUUAAAUUCACUAGCUGCUCCUUGGAAGCCCUAUGGGGCAGUUCUACUCUGUCCUUAUAGGGUCACUAUGAGUCGGAAUUGACUUGACAGCAAUGGGUUAUAUAUAUACGUUUCACCGGUUUUGCUACCUGAAGCUGGGGCGGGGAGGGGUGCAGACCCACCUAAAAGGAUUAGAGCAACAGUGACCAGCACACACACACGGCUGGGAAUAGUGCAUGUUCCCACCAGCCAGACUUGAAAAAUUCACGAUUUGCAGAACAUUGGGUAGAAUAUUUGGAAGGCCUUGCCUCAGUAGUGGAUACUAAUAUUUCCAGACUCAGCACUGAUCCAAGUCUGCCUAAAAACUCGUAAAAGCAAGAUCCUGAUAGGUCAAACUAUUUCCAAGUAACUUGCCUGCAUCUCGGAAUAAAGCUAAAGAAUAUUUAUAGGAAAAAAAUAAAACUGGCAAGCAACAAAACAAUUAGCCCCCAAAUAAAAUGUGUGGCAUCCAGUCAAAGAUGAUCAAGCAUACAAAGAAGCAAGAAAAUAUGAUCCAUAAUAAGAAUAAUGAUCAAUUGAAACUGACUCAGAUUGCCACAGAUGGUAGAAUGAGCAAACAGGACAUUAAAAUUGUUGUUGUUGUAGUUGUGUUGCGUGCCAUUAAGUUAAUUCUGACUCAUAGCGACUGUAUGUGACAGGGUAUUACUACUCCGUAGGGUUUCCUAGGCUGUAAUCUUUAUGGGAGCAGAUCGUCGGGUCUUUUCUCCAGUACAGCCACUGGUGAGUUCGAACCAUUGGCCUUCUGGUUAGCAGCCAUGUGCUUAACUGUUGCAUCACCAGGAAUCCUUAAAAUAGUUAUUAUAACUUUAUUUUACAUAUAUGUUCAAAAAGUUAAGCAGAAACAACCAUGGGCAUCUGCCUCCUUCUUUGGAUCUUCUCAUCUAAGCAUAGAACCAGAAGCCCCACUGAGGACAUCUGAUGACCAACAGGUCAGUAAGAGGUCUCCAAAAUGAAACAUAACAAGAUGCAAGAAAAGGAGGUAAUGGGGUUUCCCUACCUUCGUUCCAGACUCUGAGGCAGCCUUCUGGACAGAUUACUUUUGCCUAUAAUGGAGAGAUAUUUCUGUAGGAGAUGCAGCAAAGACAGCGCAAAGCAUUGCAUUGCAAACACAGCUCUAUUUUGGCUAGACCAAGGAACGCUCUGGUUAGGGCACUUCCUUUCUUAGCGCCUCAGACCCUGCCUUCUGCCCUCUCUUAAGGAAGCUAUUUGCCACCAGAUAAACUGAGAAGCCCCCACCUGUCUGUCAGUUUGUCGUACUGUGGGGGCUUGCGUGUUGCUGUGGUGCUGGAAGCUAUGCCACUGGUAUUCAGACACCAGCAGGGUCACCCAUGGAGGACAGGUUUCAGCUGAGCUUCCACACUAAAACAGACUAGGAAGAAGGACCCAGCAGUCUACUUCUGAAAAGCAUUAGCCAGUGAAAACCUUAUGAAUAGCAGUAGAACAUUGUCUGUUAUAGUGCUGGAAGAUGAGCCCCCAGGUUGGAAGGCACUCAGAAAUGACUGGGGAAGAGCUGCCUCCUCAAAGUAGAGUUGACCUUAAUGAUGUGGAUGGAGUAAAGCUUUCGGGACCUUCAUUUGCUGAUGUGGCAUGACUCAAAAUGAGAAGAAACAGCUGCAAACAUCCAUUAAUAAUCGGAACCUGGAAUGUACGAAGUAUGCAUCUAGGAAAAUUAGAAAUCCUCAAAAAUGAAAUGAAACACAUAAACAUCAAUAUCCUAGGCAUUAGUGAACUGAAAUGGACUGAUAUUGGCCAUUUUGAAUCAGACAAUCAUAUAGUCUACUAUGCUGGGAACGACAACUUGAAGAGGAAUGGCAUUGCAUUCAUCGUCAAAAAGAACAUUUCAAGAUCUAUCCUGAAGUACAAUGCUGUCAGUGAUAGGAUAAUAUCCAUACACCUACAAGGAAGACCAGUUAAUACGACUAUUGUUCAAAUUUACGCACCGACUACUAGGGCCAAAGAUGAAGAAAUAGAAGAUUUUUAUCAGCUGCUACAGUCUGAAAUUGAUGGAACAUGCAAUCAGGAUGCAUUGAUAAUUACUGCCGAUUGGAAUGUGAAAGUUGGAAACAAAGAAGAAGGAUCAGCAGUUGGAAAAUAUGGCCUUUGUGAUAGAAAAAAUGCUGGAUAUCAAAAGAUAGAAUUUUGCAAAACCAAUGACUUCUUCAUUGCAAACACCUUCUUUCACCAACGUAAACAGCGAUGAUACACCUGGACCUCACCAGAUGGAACACGCAGAAAUCAAAUUGACUACAUCUUUGGAAAGAGACGAUGGAAAAGCUCAAUACCAUCAGUCAGAACAAGGCCAGGGACUGACUGUGGAACAGAUCAUCAAUUGCUCAUAUGCAAGUUCAAGCUGAAACUGAAGACAAUCAAAGCAAGUCCACGAGAGCCAAAAUAUGACCUUGAGUAUAUCCCACCUGAAUUCAAAGACCAUCUGAAGAAUAGAUUUGAUGCAUUGAACACUGAUGACUGAAGACUGGACGAGUUGUGGAAUGACAUCAAGGACAUCAUACAUGAAGAAAGCAAGAGGUUAUUGAAAAGACAGGAAAGAAAGAAAAGACCAAGAUGGAUGUCAGAGGAGACUCUGAAACUUGCUUUCGAACGUCGAGCAGCUAAAGCAAAAGGAAGAAUUGAUGAAGUAAAAGAACUAAACAGAAGAUUUCAAAGGGCGGCUCGAGAAGACAAAGUAUUACAAUGACACAUGCAAAGAGCUGGAAAUGAAAAACCAAAAGGCAAGAACAUACUCCGUGUUUCUCAAGCUGAAAGAACUGAAGAAAAAAUUCAAGCCUUGAGUUGCAGUAACAAAGGAUUUCAUGGGGAAAAUAUUAAACGACAGAGAAGCAUCAAAAGAAGAUGGAAGGAAUACACAGAGCCGUUAUAUCAAAAAGAAUUAGUCGAUAUUCAACCAUUUCAAGAGGUGGCAUAUGAUCAGGAACCAAUGGUACUGAAGGAAGAAGUCCAAGCUGCUCUGAACGCACUGGCGAAAAACAAGGAUCCAGGAAUUGAUGGAAUAUCAAUUGAGAUGUUUCAGCAAACAGAUGCAGCGCUGGAGGUGCUCACUCGUCUAUGCCAAGAAAUAUGGAAGACAGCUUCCUGGCCAACUGAUUGGAAGAGAUCCAUAUUUUUGCCUAUUCCCAAGAAAGGUGAUCCAACCAAAUGUGGAAGUUAUAGAACAAUUUCAUUAAUAUCACACACAAGCAAAAUUUUGCUGAAGAUCAUUCAAAAACGGCUGCAGCAGUAUAUCGACAGGAAACUGCCAGAAAUUCAGGCUGGUUUCAGAAGAGGAUGUGGAACCAGGGAUAUCAUUGCUGAUGUCAGAUGGAUCGUGGCUGAAAGCAGAGAAUACCAGAAGGAUGUUUACCUGUGUUUUACUGACUAUGCAAAGGCAUUUAACUAUGUGGCUCAUAACAAAUUAUGGAUAACAUUGUGAAGAAUGGGAAUUCCAGAACACUUAAUUGUGCUCGUGAGGAACCUUUACAUAGAUCAAGAGGCAGUUGUUCAGACAGAACAAGGGGAUACUGAUUGGUUUAAAGUCAGGAAAGGUGUGCAUCAGGGUUGUAUUCUUUCACCAUACCUAGUGAGCAACAUGAUGAUAAAUGGAGAAAAGACUGAAGUUGUCAAGGAUUUCAUUUUACUUGGAUCCACAAUCAACAGCCAUGGAAGCAGCAGUCAAGAAAUCAGAAGACGCAUUGCAUUGGGUAAAUCUGCUGCAAAGGACCUCUUCAAAGUGUUGAAGGGGAAAGAUGUCACCUUGAAGACUACGGCGCGCCUGACCCAAGCCGUGGUAUUUUCAAUCACAUCAUAUGCAUGUGAAAGCUGGACAAUGAAUAAGGAAGACCGAAGAAGAAUUGAUGCCUUUGAAUUGUGGUGUUGGCGAAGAAUAUUGAAUAUACCGUGGACUGCCAGAAGAGCAAAUACAUCUGUCUUGGAAAAAGUACAACCAGAAUGCUCCUUAGAAGCAAGGAUGUCAAGACUGCAUCUUACAUACUUUGGACAUGUUGUCAGGAGGGAUCAGUCCCUGGAGAAGGACAUCAUGCUUGGCAAAGUACAGGGUCAGUGGAAAAGAGGAAGACUCUCAACGAGGUGGAUUGACACAGUGGCUGCAGCAAUGGGCUCAAGCAUAGCAAUGAUUGUAAGGAUGGCGCAGAACCAGGCAGUGUUUCUUUCUGUUGUGCACGGGGUUGCUAUGAGUCAGAACUGACUCGACGGCACCUAACAACAACAACAACAAACUGAGAAGAACCACUGAGCUCCCUGAGACCAAAGGUGUAGCUACAUAAAUAUAUCAUGUCCUGAGAGCGGUUGAUAAAAUGUACAAAGGCUGGGUGUAUGGAAGGAAGAACAGAAAUCUCAUCAUUUCUGUGGGGCUUUUGAAAUCUUAGAGUUUGAAAUACCUACCCAGUCCCCUGCUCCCCCUUCACAAGAGAGCUCAUAGUACAAGCCAUUUUUAUGAGCAGUCCUGAGAUACCCGGGAGCAAUCCAGAGCAAAGAGUAGUUCUAUUGUUUUAUUGAAAUUGCACUGCAGUUUUGCAGCUAAAGACACUCUCUGGGGUUGGACUCCCAGAGUCCCUCAUUCUAGAAGACCGAUCUAAACCAUGACGUGCUAGGGAGACGCCCUAUGCUGUCUGAGGUCCUUGAUGACCUUCCAUAGCAGCCCGUUGGGACCAUUGAGUUGAAAGGGUCUGGGUGGACUUGAUGGAGUCGGGUAUUUUUCUCUCCAGGACCCUGCUGAAACCCAACGGCCUGUUUUCUAGUUUCUAGAGUAUGAACACACUAAUAAAAAACCAAACUCGUUGACUUUGAGUCAUUUCCGACUCGUGGUGACCCCAUGUGUUACAGAGUAGAACUGAGCUCCAUAGGGUUUCCUUGGCUGUAAUCUUUAUGGAAGCAAUCACCAGGCCUUUCUUUUGCACACCCCUGGGAAGGUCUGAACCAUCAACUUUUAGGUUAGUAGUCGAGUGCAAACCUUUGGCACCCCCCAGGACCUGAACACACUAAUAGAGCACCUCAAAGUUUUGCCACGAGCCAUUUCUCCUUCCUGCAGUUCAUAGGGAAUUGUGCUCAUGAGGAACCUGUACAUGGAUCAAGAGGCAGUCUUUCAAACAGAAGAAGGGGACACUGAGUGGUUUAAAGUCAGGGAAGUUGUAUGUCAGGGUUGUAUCUUUUCACCAUACCUAUUCAAUCUGUUGGAAACCCUGAUGGUGUAGUGGUUAAGUGCUAUGGCUGCUAAUCAAAAGGUCAGCAGUUUGAAUCCACCAGGCAUUCCUUGGAAAGUCUAUGGGGCAGUUCUACUCUUGGUAAAGCAGAGGAUCAUUGAAAAAGAGGAAGAUCCUCAACAAGGUGGGUUGAUACAGUGGCUGCAAUAAUGGGCUCAAGCAUAGCAACAACUGUGAGGAUGGUGCAGGACCCGGCAGUGCUUCCUUCUGUUGUGCAAAGGGUCACUAUGAGUUGGAACCAACUCAAUGGCACCUAACAAGAACAACGAAUGUUAUGGAUUGAAUUGUGCGCCCCCCCCCGCCAAAAGAUAUGUUGAAGUCUUAACCCCCAGUACCUGUGAAUGUGAUCUUGUUGGAGAUAAGGUCUCCCAAGAUGUUAUCAGUUAACAUGAGUUCAUACUGGAGUAGAAUUAAUAAAAAAAAAAAAAAAGGUUUGCCAUCGAGUCAAUUCCAACACAUGGUGACCCCAUGUUAUAGAGUAGAAUUGCUUCCUAGGGUCUUCUUGGCUCUAAUCUUUACAGAAGCAGUUUGCCAGGCCUUUCUUCUGCAGAGCUGCUGGGUUGGUUCAAACCACCAAUCUUUAGGUUAGUAGCCAAUUGCAAACCACCUGAGCUACCCAGGCUCCUGCUGGAGUAGGGUGGGUCCUAAACUAAUCUGAGUGAUGUCCUUAUAAAAGAGAGAAGACACCGAGGGAAAACAGCCCUGUAACCAUGAAGUCAUUCUGUAGCUGCAAGUCAAGGACUACCUGGGGCUACCAGAAGCUGGGAGACACAAGAAAGGAUCUUCCCCUAAAGCCUUCAGGGAGAAUGUGGCCCUGCUGACACCUUAACUUUGGACUACUAGCCUCCAGAACUGUGAGACAAUGAAUCUGUGUUCUUACAAGCAAAAAAGAAACAGUUAAGCAGAAACAUGAAAAAGUUUUAAAAAGACUCAAAUCAAACUUCUGGAGAUGAAAAGUACUUAUGUGCAAGAUGAAAAAUAACCCAAAUGAGAUUAAUGACAUAUUGACAUGGCAGCAGAAAAGAUCAGUGGACUUGAAGAAAGAGCAAUAGAAACGAUCCAAAAUGAAACACAAGAGAGGAAAACAUGAACAAAAAAACAGAGAGAGAGAGAAAACAGCAUCAGUGAAUAUAGGAUAACUUCAAAUGGCUUAAUGUGGAUGUAACUGGGGUCUCCAAAGCAGAGGAUGAGAGGACAGGGAAAAAUAUUUUAACAAAUAAUGGCAAAGAAAAGUCCAAAUUUGACGAAAACUAUAUAAAACCCAAGAAGCUCAAAGAACCCCAAGCACAAGAAAUAGGAAGAAAAUGACACCAUGGCACAUCAUAAUUGAAUGACUCAAAACUAGUAAUAAAGAGAAAAUCUUAAAGACCUUACACAUUUGUUUGUCAGUUGUGCCCUCCCCCAUGAGGUAUUUUCGUAAGCGCCACUAUGCCAAUUUUUUUUACAGGUUGCUGUAAAAAAAAUCUGCAUAGUGCCCUUACUUAAAUACCUCAUGGGGGAAGGCGUGGUUGGCAAACAAACCUAGAAGGUAUGCAUUAUUGGCAUAAAAAUACAGUAUACACAGGGGAACAAAGAUAAAAAUGAUGGAAGAUUUCUUGUUAGAAAUAAUACAAGUGAGAAGGUAAUGGAGCAAUAUCUUUAAAAUGUUGAAAGAAAAAAAAGAGCUGUCAACCUAGAAUUUAUAUCUAGUGUAAAUACCUUUCAAAAACAAAGGCGAAAGAUAUUUAUAGGCAUAUAAAAGUUGAAAGAACUACCAGUAGAGCUGCAACCUUGGAGGCAUAGUGGUUAAGAGCUACGGCUGCUAACCAAAAGGUUGGCAGUUCAAAUCCACCGGGCGCUCCUUGGAAACUCUUUGGGGCAGUUCUACUCUGUCCUGUAGGGUCGCUAUGAGUCAGAAUCGACUCAACCACAACAGGUUUGGUUUUUAGUUUUUUAGACCCACGCUGCAAGACAUGUUAAAGAAGUCCUUCAGACAGAAGGAAAAUGAUACCAAAUGGAGACAUGAUUCUACACAAAGGAAAUGAAAAUGCAAACAAUUUAGAAAAGAAGAAGAAAAUAAAAAGUUCCCCGAAAUCCCACCAUCAAGAAAUACUAUCACUAACAUUUGGUGAACAUCUUUGCAGACUUCUUAGGCAUUCAUGUUUUAAAUAUGAAAUGCUAUUUUUCAACCCGUGUUUUCUAAGCAACAAUACGUAGUGGAUCUCCGACAUGUUCAUACGCACCGUGUUUUUUAGCUGCCAUGUUAGCUAUUAUCAUUAUCACUAUGUGAAGUACAAAUGCCUUGCUUGGUCUGUCAUAAAAGUCUACAGAAUCUCACUAAACCUACCUCCCUUUGUUUACUUCCACCUUACCUUGUAGGUACUGUCAAUUUCUUCUCCCAGGGUGGGAGAAACUGACCUUGUAAUUGAAAGGUCUUGGUUCUGGUGCUAAGCCCAUUUGGACUCUGAACCACCACUUAAAUCUCCUUAAGUUUCAAUUUUUCUCUUCUGUGAAAUAAAGGUUUUUACUAUUUGUCCUGCUUGCCUUCCUUCAUUCCAUAAAGGGACUUCAGGACCUUUGCACUUGCUGUUCCCUCUGCCAGAAAUGGUGCUAGAAACAGGGGAGACAACAAACCAGCUCCUGAUCUCCUGGAGUCAAUAGGCCAGUAGAGGAGACAGGAAAUUACAAAACACUGCAUCAAGGGUUGCCUCUACCCGGGUACUCUGUCUGUUCUCAACCCAGCAUUCAGAGUGGUCCUUUGAAUACAUGAAUCAAAUCAUGUCACUGCUCUGUUCAAAACACUUGAGUGGCUCUGAAUUCACCAAAGUCCUCACAAUUACCUACAAGCAUCCAUAUGAUCUGGUUGCCCAUUACCAAUCUAUCUUCCUCUCCUACCGCUGUCUCCCUCCCUUCCUCCACUCCAGUCACACUGGCCUCCUUGCUGUUCCUCAAAACCACUAGGUAUGCCUUUUGCCUCAGGGCCUUUGCACUGGCUGUCCUCUCUGUCUAGAAUGCUCUUCCCCAAGAUAUCAACAUGGCUUCCUCCUUGAUCUCUUUCAAGUCUUUGCUCAAUUGAAACUUUCUAGAUAAGGCCUCUCCUGUCCAUCCUAUUUAAAAUGAAACCCCAUCCCUACUGCGGCAUUCUGGAUCCCCCUCAUACUCUGCUAUUAUCACUUUCUAACUUACGAUAUACUUCACUCUUUAUUCUGCUUAUUGCCUUUCUCCUCCACUAGAAUUUAAGCUCUACAAGGGCAGAAGUUUUUGUCUGCUUUGUUCAUUGAUAUUUCUGCAGCGCCUAAAACAAUGCCUGGCGUAUAAUAGGUGCUUAAUAAAUGUCAAAUUCAUUGGACAGAGUUGAACAGAGAAGGGAGAAUGGAAGAGCUGCUUCAUCACACAACUCCAGGGGGCACCCUUCACACUGUAGGCUGUGUGGAUGGCACCCUCUGGAAUUGCACAGUGCUCAGGCUACAGAGCUAUAUGAGGUGACUCUAACAGCAACCAAGAAACCACUUUGUCAAAAGGAACAAAUCAUUAAAUGAAAAUAUUUUUUCUAAUAAAAAUAUAUAAAAACACCAAGAAGAAAGAAAAAUCCAAAUCCUUCAAACUAGAGAUAAUCUCCAUUAAGAUUUCUUCCAGAUAUUUCUCUAUGCAUAUGUACACGUAUAAAUCUUCAUUUGACUUAAGUGGCAGCAUACCUGGCAUGUUACACUAAUAUCUGUUUUACCCAAUAAUAUAUUAUGAUAAACUUUACAAGUCAAUAAAUACUGAUUCUUAUCAUUGCUUUAAACCAGGGUUCUGGAAAUUAAGGUCCAUGAAACAACUCCAGUUGUUAUAAAGUUUUACUGGAACACAGCUAUACUCGUUCCUUUCUUUACGUAUUGUCUAUAGCUGCUUUCAUGCUACAAUGGCAGAGGUGAUUAUUUGUGAUAGAAACAAUAUGGCUCACAAAGCUUAAAAAUAGCUACUGUCUAGUCUUUUACAGAAAAGUUUGCUAGCCCCUGCUUUGUGGCGGAGUAGUGAAUGGUAUGAAAAUAUCAUAAAUGAAUUCUUCCCCUAUUGGUACACAUGCAGUUUGUUACCAAUUUUUGUUGAUGAACAAGGGCAUAUGUACGUCUAUGGACACGUGUCCAGUGUAUCACCUUAGGAUAAAUUCCUAGAGUUGGAUUGGCUGGAUGAAAGCAUGAGCUCUGUAAAGGUUUUUGCUACCCAUGAUCAAAAUGCCCACAGAACAGCUGUACCAGGUGAAUGAAUCUGUUGUUCUCACUAGCACUGAAACAUAAGCUCUUUGACCUCAUCCAUUUCUACCCUUUUGUGUUUUCUUUGUGUAAUUUGGUUUUGUGUAGCUGGUUCAAGUAAAUUGAGUUCCUUUUGAAAAAGUUCAACAUGUAUCAGCUCAACUAAGGGGAUAAGACAUUUCUGUCCCCAUCCACGCCAGUGGCUUGCCAGAGUCAGGAGCAUUCAUGGUCAGGCAGCCCCAAAGAGAAAAGGCCAGAAAUCUGGUGGGGAAUGGAGAAGAGGAGAGGUUGAAAACUUAGUAGAGAGUAGCCAGGAGCUGUAGUAGGAUACUUUGACCCUGCAUUUGAAGCUGCCCUUUUGACACUGCAGAUGUCUCCACUUCAUCCUUAUGACCUCAUCCAGUAACUGAGAGUUUAGCUGCCCAUGCAUGACAACGGCAGCCUUUCUUCUUGUGUGCACAUGUAUCUCUGUCUCAUUGGAUUGUACCAGAUUUUCUCACUGAUUAUCUAGGAAGUAAGUACAAUCAAUCUUUUCCUUAAUUCUUAAUCUUUAUUACUGGCAGAAAAAAAAAAAAUCGACAUGAAAUGAAAAUGACAACAGAUGAACCUACAUGUGGCCAAAAUUGCUAUUGACUAAAAAUUGACAGAAGGAUCAAAUUUUGACAAAAUUUAGAUCUGCAAAAUUUGACCUCAGGGAAAUUUGGAUUUGGAAAACGAACGAAAAUCACAACAGUUGAGAUGCAUUGAGGAAAAAUAUGAUUCGAAAAACUGAUCGAGGAAUCCAGUGUAAAAACAAUGAAAAAUACAAAAAAAAAAAAAUUCAAUUCAAAGUAAUUUAAAUACAGUAAAAACACAGCUAACACUGAAAAUAGCUUCAUUGUGUUAUAUAAAAUUAUCAAUCAAGAGAUUAAACUGACUUACUUGCGAUUACUCUGGAAAAUAUUUUUUUGCUGAAAAUUUACCCAUGUUGGAGAUGAGCUAUCUUUAGACACUGAGCUAGACUAACAACUUUCUACUCAUUGCCCAAAUCAAGGAAGCUUGUUCUGUUUCUUGUUCUUGUUAUUUAUUUUUUUAAAGACUUUUGGGGUCUCUGGAGCCACUAAGGUCCGAAGGAAAAGAAAAAUGGAAUCUACACCUACUUCUCACUUCUUGACUAUCUCGUAACCAACAUUUUGCAUUUAUGACCAUAGUAAAAAAUCUACUAUCCAACUACUUUGAGCAUCAGUGGGUACAUGUCUGGCAGUAACGAACACCAAGAUGUGACAAGAGAGUAACGCUGGCUGUGAUGGUUAAGGUUAUGUGUCAACUUGGCUGGGCCAUGAUCUCGGAGGUUUGGCAGUUAUGUAACGAUGUAAUUUGGCAGUUGUGUCAUGAUGUAAUCAUUCUCCAUUUUGUGAUCUGAUGUGGUCGUCCACCAUUUUUGUACAACACCAAUUUUCACAUGAUUACCUGGUCUUUGGAACUUAACCACAUCAAAAAGUGAGGAGUGGGUGUUAUUUUCUAUCAGUUGUUCUGUGCAGAAUCUUUUUUUUCAAGUAAAUGGCAGCCAAAUUUAACAAUCCUUGUCUAUUCAUCUCUAUCCCUAGAAGCCAAAAAGUUUUCUGCAUACAGACAUGGCAUAACUACUAUAGCUCUUUCUAACAGUUCCAAGGAGGCUAACAUUAUUGUACCAUUUCAAAGCCGUUUUUUAAUAUUGUUUUUGUUGUUAGGUGCCAUUGAGUCGGUUCCAACUCAUAGUGACCCUAUGUACAACAGAAUGAAACAUCGCCCUGUCCUGUGCCAUCCUCACAGUGGUUGCUAUGCUUGAGCCCAUUGUUGUUGUUGUUUUUAAUAGUGCAUAUUUAAUAGCAAUAAAAGAAUAUUUUACAAUUUAAUGACAAUUUUAAGUGCAAGUUUUGUUUGGUUUACAGGCCAUAUUUUGCCAGUAUAUUUCUUUAUUUUGUUUGGUUUUUGGUCAGGAUUUUAUUUGUCUUGUUUUUAUUAAAAUAUUCUGUUUAUUGAAGAUUAUACAGAUAUAUAGCUGGAUAUACCUAUCUAUCUAUCUAUCAACCCAAACAAACAAGGGAGAGAGAUGAUAAAAUGCAAAGAUCAGGAACCACCUGUGACCUCUAUAAUGUGGCGCCAGUGUACAAGGGAUAAGGUACAUCCAUUUUACUUUUGUUACAACUCCCUGUGACUUCAUUUAAAAAGACAUUUUUCCCAAAGUAAAAUUAUAAAUGAAAGAAAAUCUGGGAGGUGGGAAGCAAGGAAGUAAAAGUGCAAACCCAAUUAAGCAACAUCUAAAACACCAUGAAUGAUUCAGUUACCUUCUGUUUCCCUCAUCAGGACUGAACCUAGACCAGGACUUCACAAUUCCAAAAAAGACCAGUCAAAAAAACCCCAAAACUGUUUGAAAUGACUGUGGUCAUGCAGGUGAAAUUUGGUUUUCUUAACAAAACAAAAUGAAGACUUAGUUUCUUGAGGGUAGAGUAGGUGUGUAGUUUUAUCUCUAUAUUCCCAGCACUUAGUAAACAGCUGGCACAGAGUAGGAGCUUUUUGAGUAAAUAAGUGGGUAAAUUUUUUUUUUUAAGUGUAAACGAAAAUCUCUCAUUAUUUAAGUACUUGAACUCAUUUGUCUAACUCAGCAGUUCUCAGCCUUGGCUGCACAUUAGAAUCUUAUAGGGACUCCUUUUCCCUUAAAUUUUUAUUGAAGUAUUAAAUACAGAAGACUGUACAUAUCUUGGAGAGUUUUUAUAAACUGCUAGUACACUCUUGAAUGGUUAAAAUGAAAAAGAUUGACAAUAUUUAGUGUUGUGGCAAGAAGGUAGAGCAACGGGAACACUUAAACAUUGCUAGCGGGAAUGCAAAAUGGUACAACAGUUUAGAAGUUUCUUCUGAUGUUGAACAGACAAUUACCAUGUGACCCAGCAACACUGCUCCUAGGUAUUUACCCGAGAGAAAUGAAAACAUAAAUCCAUAUAAAAACUUUUACAUCAAUGUUCGUAGCUUUAUUUGUUAUAGCCAACAGCUGGAAAUAACCAAAUGUCCACGAACAGGUGAAUGGAUAUACAAAAUGUGGCAUGUUCAAAGAAUGAACUUCUAAUCAGAAGGAAGAAUGAACACGUAACAAUACGAUGAUUGUCAGAAAUGCUAUACUGAGUGAAAGAAAGCAGUAAUGUUCAAUUCCCUUUAUAUGAAAUUCUAACAUAAGCACAAUUAAUUUAUAUGGGCCAGAAGAUCAUUGGUUGCCUGUGGCUGAGACUGAGGGGGUAUUUUGGAAAUGUUGGAAACGUUCUAUAUCUUGACUGGAGUGUGUUUACAGUGGGGUAGGUAUACAUUUUUCAAAUCUCAUCAAACUUAAAAUAAAUGAAUUUUAUUGUAUGUAUACCUCAAAAAAGUUGAUUUAAAAAAAAAAACUGUUGAUUUUCAGAAUCCACUCCAGAACAAUUGAACUAGAAUCUCUGGGAUGGAAACUAAACAUUGAACCAAUUUAAAGAGGUCCCUGGAUGAUUCUAGAGUGGUGAACCAUUGGCUUCAAUUUUAAGAGAAUAUUGGGGGAGGGAGCAAACAAACAAAAAAAAUUUUUUUUUAAAGGGAACGUGAAGGAUCACAGGUGAAUUUUAUUUUCUGCUUUAAUCUGUUCUCUAUUUUCUGAUGUUUUUCCAUCAUGAACUGUAUUAUUUUAUUUACCUAUUUUGUUUCUCCCAAAUCUCUCAAAUUUUGCUUUACCAUUAAUUUUGGUUUCUAAGUCCCCAUUACAUUGUUCAGAUAAACCAUUUCUGGACAUUCAUUCAUUCAAGGUUAAUUAAACAUGUCCCACAUGCAAAGGGCUGUUUUAGGAAAGAGCAAAUAAGAACAAAGAAAGCUUCCUCUCCAGGCAAUCAAAGACACAGAGUAAAUGGAUGCACACACUUCUUGUUAUGUUGUUGUUGUUAAGUGCUAUCAAGUCGGUUCCAACUCAUAGCGACCCUAUGCACAACAGAACGAAACACUGCCCGGUCCUGCACCAUCCUUACAAUCGUUGUUAUGCUUGAGCUCAUUGUUGCAGCCACUGUGUCAAUCCACCUCGUUGAGAGUCUUCCUCUUUUCUGCUGACCCUGUACUCUGCCAAGCAUGAUGCCCUUCUCCAGGGACUGAUCCCUCCUGACAACAUGUCCAAAGUAUGUAAGACGCGGUUUUGCCAUCCUUGGCUCUAAGGAGCAUUCUGGCCACACUUCUUCCGAGACAGAUUUGUUCGUUCUUCUGGCAGUCCAAUGGUAUAUUCAAUAUUCUUUGCCAACACCACAAUUCAAAAGCCUCAGCUCUUCUUCGGUCUUCCUUAUUCAUUGUCCAGCUUUCACAUGCAUAUGAUGUGAUUGAAAAUACCAUGGCUUGGGUCAGGCACACCUUAGUCUUCAGGGUGACAUCUUUGCUCUUCAACACUUUGAAGAGGUCCUUUGUAGCAGAUUUGCCCAAUGCAAUGCGUCUUCUGAUUUCUUGACUGCUGCUUCCAUGGCUGUUGAUUGUGGAUCCAAGUAAAAUGAAAUCUUUGACAACUUCAAUCUUUUCUCCAUUUAUCAUGAUGUUGCUCCUUGGUCCAGUUGUGAGGAUUUUUGUUUUCUUUAUGUUGAGGUGUAAUCCAUACUGAAGGCUGUGAUCUUUGAUCUUCAUUAGUAAGUGCUUUAAGUCCUCUUCACUUUCAGCAAGCAAGGUUGUGUCAUCUGCAUAACGCAGGUUGUUAAUGAGUUUUCCUCCAAUCCUGAUGCCUCUUUCUUCUUCAUAUAGUCCAGCUUCUUGGAUUAUUUGUUCAGCAUACAGAUUAAAUAGGUAUGGUGAACUAAUACAACCCUGACGCACGCCUUUCCUGACUUUAAACCAAUCAGUAUCCCCUUGUUCCAUCCGAACAACUGCCCCUUGAUCUAUGUAAAGGUUCCUCAUGGGCACAAUUAACUGUUCCGGAAUUCCCAUUCUUCACAGUGUUAUCCAUAGUUUGUUAUGAUCCACACAGUUGAAUGCCUCUGCAUAGUCAAUAAAACACAGGUAAACAUCCUUCUGGUAUUCUCUGCUUUCAGCCAGGAUCCAUCUGACAUCAGCAAUGAUAUCCCUGGUUCCACAUCCUCUUUUGAAACUGGCCUGAACUUCUGGUAGUUCCCUGCUGCAGCCUCUUUUGAAUGAUCUUCAGCAAAAUUUUGCUUGCACGUGAUAUUAAUGAUAUUGUUCUAUAAUUUCCACAUUCAGUUGGAUCACCUUUCUUGGGAAUAGGCAUAAAUAUGGAUCUCUUCCAAUCAGUUGGCCAAGAAGCUGUCUUCCAUAUUUCUUGGCAUAGACGAGUGAGCACCUCCAGCGCUACAUCUGUUUGUUGCAACAUCUCAAUUGAUAUUCCAUCAAUUCCUGGAGCCUUGUUUUUUGCCAGUGCGUUCAGAGCAGCUUGGACUUCUUCCUUCAGCACCAUCGGUUCCUGAUCAUACGCCACCUCUUGAAAUGGUUGAAUAUCGACUAAUUCUUUUUGAUAUAACGGCUCUGUGUAUUUCUUCCAUCUUCUUUUGAUGCUUCCUCUGUCGUUUAAUAUUUUCCCCACGGAAUCCUUCACUAUUGCAACUCGAGGCUUGAAUUUUUUCUUCAGUUCUUUCAGCUUGAGAAAUGCUGAGCGUGUUCUUGCCUUUUGGUUUUCCAUCUCCAGCUCUUUGCACAUGUCAUUAUAAUACUUUACUUUGUCUUCUUGAGAGCCCCUUUGAAAUCUUCUGUUCAACUCUUUUACUUCAUCAAUUCUUCCUUUAGUUUCAGAGUCUCCUCUGACAUCCAUCUUGGUCUUUUCUUUCUUUCCUGUCUUUUCAGUGACCUCUUGCUUUCUCAAUGGAUGAUGUCCCUGAUGUCAUUCCACAACUCGUCUGGUCUUCGGUCAUCAGUGUUCAAUGCGUCAAAUCUGUUCUUCAGAUGGUCUCUAAAUUCAGGUGGGAUAUACUCAAGGUCAUAUUUUGGCUCUCGUGGACUUGCUCUGAUUGUCUUCAGUUUCGGCUUGAAAUUGCAUAUGAGCAAUUGAUGGUCUGUUCCACAGUUGGCCCCUGGCCUUGUUCUGACUGAUGAUGUUGAGCUUUUCCAUCAUCUCUUUCCACAGAUGUAGUCAAUUUUGACUUCUGCGUGUUCCAUCUGGUGAGGUCCAUGUGUACAGUCACCGUUUAUGUUGGUGAAAGAAGGUAUUUGCAAUGAAGAAGUCGUUCAUCUUGCAAAAUUCUAUCAUUCGAUCCCCGGCAUUGUUUCUAUCACCAAGGCCAUAUUUUCCAACUACUGAUCCUUCUUCGUUUCCAACUUUCGCAUUCCAAUCACCAGUAAUUAUCAAUGCAUCUUGAUUGCAUGUUCCAUCAAUUUCAGACUGUAGCAGCUGAUAAAAAUCUUCUAUUUCUUCAUCUCUGGCCCUAGUGGUUGGUGCGUAAAUUUGAAUAAUAGUCAUAUUAACUGGUCUUCCUUGUAUACAUAUGGAUGUUAUCCUAUCACUGGCAGUGUUGUACUUCAGGAUAGAUCUUGAAAUGUUCUUUUUGACAAUGAAUGCAACACCUUUCCUCUUUGAGUUGUCAUUCCCAGCAGAGUAGAUUCUAUGACUGUCUGAUUCAAAAUGGCCAAUACCAGUCCAUUUCGGUUCGCUAAUGCCUAGGAUAUCGAUGUUUAUGCAUUCCAUUUCAUUUUGGACGAUUUCUAAUUUUCCUAGAUUCAUACUUUGUACAUUCCGGGUUCUGAUUAUUAAUGGAUAUUUGCAGCUGAUUCUUCUCAUUUUGAGUCGUGCCACAUCAGCAAAUGAAGGUCCCGAAAGCUUUACUCCAUUCACGUCAUUAAGGUCGAGUCUACUUUGAGGUGGCAGCUCUUCCCCAAUCAUCUUUUGAGUGCCUUCCAACCUGAGGGCUCAUCUUCCAGCACUAUAUCAGACAAGGUUCCACUGCUAUUCGUAAGGUUUUCACUGGCAAAUGAAAGGAAGAAGGACCCGACAGACUACUUCUUGUUAUAAGAGGCUCCAAAGGUGAUAGUAGACACAGGUGACAGGAGAUAAGAUGAUGCUACUUUAUUCUUGUGUGACUUUGGAAAAUAAUCUGGUAGUUUCUUAAAAAGUUGAAAUGCACCUACCCAGACACUCAGUUCCUAGGUGUUUACCCUAAGGAAACGACAGCACAUGUUAAUACAAAGAUUUACACAUGAAUGCUCAGAGUAGCUUCAUUUUUCAAACCAAACGUUUCAAGCCAAAAUGUGGAAACAACCCAAAUGUCCAUCAACUGAAGAAUGGCUAAAUUGUGAUAAAUCUAUAUUAUAGAAUACUACUCAGCAAUAAAAAAGUAACUACUGAUACAUGGAACAACAUAGGUGAAUCUCAAAAUAAUUAUGCUGAGUGAAAGAAGCCAAACGCAAAAGAGCAUCUACCAUGUGAGUCCAUUCAUAUAAAACUCUAGGAAGUGCAAGCUAAUAUAUAGUGACAGAAAGCAGGUUAGUGGCUGGGGUGGAUGGAGAAUGAAUUACACAGAGGUGAUGGAAAUGUUUCUUAUCUUGAUUGCUGUGAUGGUUUCACAGUUGUAUACGUAUGUCAGAACUCAUCAAAACAUACAUCUUAAAUAUGUGUAUUUUAUUGUACAUAAAUUAUAUUACAAUAAAGAUGUUAAAAAGAAGAAAGAAGGGAGAGAGAGGGAAGGGAAAAUGACAUCAAACAAGGCUGCAAAUGUACCUGAAUGGGACCCAUGGUCUCCAGUUUGUAUCUCUGCCCAAAAUUUUGUGGGCCUGGGCUAGGAAGAGGAAUGUGGCGGACCCCCCUAGAGUUUGAUAGCUAACAGGAUAAGCAGCAAUGGAGAGGUAGACUGAAGAGCUUGUUUGGAUAGUAAACAAAUGAAGGAAACAUAGGCACGGUCACAGCAUUUCCUGUCCUGGAUGAUUCUUUAGAUUAAGUUAAAGUGAUUAUAAUCACUUAAGAUUGUUUUAUAAAGGAUUCCAUUCAUUAAAAAAAAAUGUGUUUUAGGUGAAAGUUUACAGAGAAAAUUAGUUUCCCAUUCCAUCGUUUGUACAUAGUGUUCCAUGGCAUUGGUUGCUUUCCCCACAGUGUAUCAGCCCUGGGUUCUUCGUUUCCUUCCCUCAGGAUUUUCUACCCCUUCCUGCCUUCUCAUCUUUGCUUUUGGACAAAUGUUGCCCUUUCGAUCUCCUAUAAUUGAUUUUCCUAAGGAGCAUAAUCCUCUCUGGUGGUGUUUAUUUUCUGGGCCUAUUAUUUGGCUGUCUAUUUGUUUUUGACAUGUUCCCAACUCAAUGGCAGUGGUGGCCACCAAACACACCAUGGGUCUAUGUAAACCAAAACAUUCCAAAGAAAGAGUGGAGCGAGGGAGGAUUGAGGCUUAAAAGUGACAAUCACAGAGUUUAGGGUAGUGGUUAAACUUGAGGGCUCUGUGGCCAGACUCCUGACUUUGCAGCUAACUAGCUCUGAGACCUCAGGCGAGACAUUUUCAUACUCUAAACAUCUGUGUGCUUAUCUGUGAAAACAGGGAAAAUAGCUAACCUCAUUAGGAUGCUGUGAGGAUUAAAUGAGGUGAGCUUCCUAAUGCAAUUAGCACAGAGCCUGGCACACAGUUAAGUUUUAGCUCAAUCUAUUCUGAGUCAUUUGUUUUUCCUCCCUCAAAUACUAAGUUGUCCAUUUUACAUUCCAGACAGUUACAGCUUUUAUGGACCCCAGUCAAAUACCGCUAUCCUCUGUGUUUAGAGAAACAGAGUCUUGGGCAUAUUAAGAUUCAUGAUUUUUGAACUUACUACUGUAUUUCUGAUAUUCAUUUAUUAUUAUCAUUCUUGUUACAGGUAUGAGUAAUAGUAGUUAAUUCCAAGGGAGUAAAAGGAACAAUAACAGGCCAUGCUUUUCUAAAAACCAUAGGUAAUAUCUAUUUUGAAAAUUUGCCCACUGGGCCAAAGGCAUGGUUGCCUGCAGGAGGCAAACACAGUAAAUCUGCCUCCAUAUUGCCCAUUCUGCCCCUUCAUGGCCAUGCCCCCUCCCUCUCCCUCAGCUUGCCUGCACUUGGCCUUGGAACCUAGCUUUGCCUCUGCAGUCACUCCUCCCUAAAACUCAUUUCUAGCCACAAGUCUUGGUUUUCCGAUUUAAUUUUGGGCAAUGCAAUUCACUUUUCACCCUGUUCAUAAGUCACUCUUGCCUGUGGGUAAGUGGCACUCAUGGGCACAGGCUCAGUAGAGAAAGAUGAACUGAGUCAACGAAAUCCCUUACGGAAGUCAAGAUGGACCUGACAAAAGUUGUUCUCCAAAUCCAGUUAUCCCCAAACUAAGGGUAGCCUGAUAUGAUAUAAUGAGAGAUCCCGGUAUAAUACAACAGUAUUUCUCAAAGUGCAUGCUCGAGAGAGCAGAACCACCGGGGGGACUUCUUAAAAUGCAAAUUACGAGGCCCACCCCAGACCUACAGAAUAAGAGCAUCUGAAAAUGGGGCCCAGGAAUCAGUCUCUCUGAAAAGAAAUCCAGGCGCUGAUUCAGAUGCUCUUUGCCUUCCCUGUGAAAGGUAUCAUUAAGAAAACUGAACUUGUCAUAUGAAAUAAUGGGCUGAUCUAAUCAUGAACGUAACCUUGAAUGGUGAAUGUUAUUCUGUCAAAGACGGACACACUACCAUCCAGAAUGAUGAGCAACCAAGUCAUGUUCUGAGAAAAAAAAAAAAGUGUAGUCAGGUUUUUCUCAUAUAGCAGGUGUGCUGUUCAGAUUUCCACUAGAUAGGGGAACAGCUUAGGUAAAAAAGAAAAUGGCCUCUGUAUUUUAAAUGAUCCCUCUCAGUCUCACUGGUCCAGCUACAUUUAUUCAGGGGGGGAAUAUAUUAAAAAUUUUUAACAAGAGUGCAAGGGCAUAAGGGACAUACCCACUGUAGACACUGGUCUAGAUGUACCAGUGCAAACUGGUGGCGUGUCAGCCCUUUCUUCUAUAGUAUAUAACUUCACCAAGAUUAAGACAAAAUAGUGUGUAUUGCCAUCCAUUUUAUUUUGAGGGAAGACAAUAGAUGUGAUUAGAGCCUUAAUGUACUUCUGAUAGAUUUGUUUUCUGUAAAAAGGGCUGAUUAAGGAUUAUAAAAACUCUUGACUUCCUGAACUGCUUGAAAUGUUACUAUUGCUUCAAAUUCAGAAAGAGCCUUCAUGACCUGAACCAUCCCAGUCAUACAACCAUUUGUUCUAUUGCUAAAGACCUAGUGAACGGGUAUCUGGGAGUUUUAUACGUGGGGAAAGGCACAUUCCCGGCACGCUGCCUCAAUGGAGGUGCAGAUAAGAUACAAAGCCUUCGUGUGCUUUGGGAGAAUGAACUGGAGAUUCAACUAGAAAACUUUGUUUCAGACCAGUUAAAAAAGUGAAAUAUAGCUACCGCAAUUGAAUUGUACAGUGGUAGCUUCAACUUCUGUACCAGGAGACAAUUUUUGCAUUUUCUUGGGUAAUCCCACAGCUACAGCCAUAUUGGACAGAUGUUUUUAACUCUAAAUGCAAUACAGAAUUACCUACCAUUUCUUCGCUAUGCAGAUUGAAUACUUUGUGUGAGCAUUCAAAAAUGCAUGUUUAUAGUCUAAACUUCUUAUGGUUAUUGUUUUCUACCACCAAAUGUACUGUCUACAGAUGGAAAAUUCAGUCUUAGAUGGGUGGUGAGGAAUUGCUCAGAAGAAUCAGUCACGCACAGACACACACAUUACACAUAACGUUGAGAUGGGCUAGAUUACAGAGUUAUCAAAAUAUGUACAGGAGCAAUCCUCAUCUAGAAGAAGUGUUUCAGGGAUUCCCAACGAUCAUACUCAACAGCUGGUCCUAUCUGCAAGACUUGGUCAAUGGAGAACACUGCUGCUUUUCUCCCCGUUCUGGUUCCCCACACACUCUAGCGCCAUCUUGGUGAAGGCAGAGUGGCACGCAGCCUUAGCACUGCUGCUCCGUAUUACCCCCCAACGACAGCAAUGAAAGCAGGCGAGACGACCAAACAACACGGCAGCCCAUUUUUAUGAGUUUACCUUUACAGGCAACCUAGAGAGUUUCAGAGGGGGAAGGAGUAGGGAAUUGCUGUGGAGUAUUUAUUUUUCAAAGUUAAUGGGUUCCUUGCAAUAAGGAUGCUAACCUAUAUUGAAGGUUAUUUUUUUUUUUACAAAGGUACCGUGUUCUUGGGGGAAAAAAAAAAGCAUGCAAAAUACACUUCGUACAGGGGUGUCCCAUGCUUCUGGAAUCACUUGAUUUUGUCAUACUUCAACUUUUUACAAAAAAGCGCUAUACAGAAUUUCUUUUACAAUCCCAGAGACUUGGUUUUGAGAUUUUUGUUGCAAUCGUAAACUGCAAAUAUGUUGAGAUAUCAUCAACGCAGGUUUAAAGAUGUAUGGAGCCUGGUUUUAGAGCCUCAGUAAUAUUGUUACUUAGCUUGGACAGGGCUAACCAAAUGUUCUGGAUAAUGGUUACUGUAAAGACACAUACAUAAAAAAAAAAAAAAAUACAUGCAUGCAUAUUUAAGGAUUACCAAUUUUAAACAAUUAUUCAUUAAACAUCAAAAUUGAAUCUUUGCUGAUGACACUUGCAGAACCUUGUUAUCUUAAUCAAUUUUCUGUUAAUAAGUCAGUCACAGAAAGAUUUGUCGCUGAUGAACUGUAGCAUAACAACGUCCAGAGGGAGAGUUUCCUCUCCCACGGCUCCAGCUUAUAGAAUUGGUAAUACUGGAGCUAGAAAUGGAAGCAGGGGUAAGCACUAAUUUUUUGAUGCAUGCUCAUAUGAAGUAAAUGCAAUAUGAGAAAUCUAAGCUCUAUCAGACAAUUCUAAUAUCUUGAAAUAAAAAGGGUCAGAGAGAUUAAGCCCAAUGUGUGCAGCAGACGAAAGGAUUUCAGGGUCCAGAAUGAAAGGGCCCUCGGCCAUGAGAAUUCCAAGGUGGGGAUGUGUUCUCCAACAUUCCUACUAGGUGCUGCUCCGUGGAUGCACUGAGAUGGAGUCCACUGUCAACCAUUUCCAACCCAACAUAAGAGGAAUUAUUUUUUUCAUGAAAAUCCGUUUCUUAACUUCACAACAGGAAACAACAAAAAUACAGUGUUUCAAAAUUUGCUUUUAUAAACCAACUCUGCCAGACUAGUAAACUGAACUAUAUUUAUACUUUUAAAUCUCAAAGAUCUAAGCCUCAUCACCCAACAACUAAAAAAAAAAAAAAAAACAACCAAAGCCACCCCAUAAAUCAUUUCUUUAGAUAUGAAAUGAAUAAGUAGGUCAAAAACACUUUUGGAAAAAAAAUUUCUUUAUUUCUAUUUGUUCAUUUAUAUAAAGACAGUAUCAGUAAUAGGUAAUACAAACAUAUUUUUAAGUUUAAAAUUAAUUUUUCAUUUUGAAAGGUUCAGGACUUUGUCUUUUCUUUCUACCUUACUCUUUUAAAUACUUCACUCCAACAAAUUAGCAGACAAAUAAAAAGCAUAUUCCCUUACUUUUCCUUAGGGUCAUAUUGGACGAAUUAGAAUUUAAUGUUUAGAAUUUAGGUACCGUUUACAGUAAGCUGGAGAUUUAAUCAUAGAAUGAUAGAUGUGAGAAUGUCAUUAGUUCACACAUUAAAAAAUAGAGUUUAAAAAGGACAAAUUUCAGGGGAAUUUCUAGUUUUAAGUUUAAGAAAGUUCUCUUAGGUAUCCUUGAAAGUUUAAAUAUUUUCCUUCAGAUUCAGAAUGAAAACAACAGGAAUUAUAGAUCAUAAUGGGUACUGGUGACAUGGCCCAAAGUAGCUACAUUAAGUUAGGGAUAAAUGGAGUCUCCACAUUUUAGGGAAGGGGCUGAUGGAAAAAAAAAAAAAAAAAAAAAACCCCACCAGGGAGCCACUUUAAACUCAUGUCCAUAGCAGGUCAAAUGAUGCUGAUACUAUUUCCUUUAGAAAGGUACUAUGUCAUCUCUGUCUUUCUGAGGGUUAGUUCCUGAACUGCUCACAUGGCUACUUCUCUUCUUUGUAUCAGCAGUUCUAGGAGCAAACCUCCCAGGGGAACAAUACUACAGACUGGAAAAGCAAGACUGCACAGGGGCUCUAAUGCUUUAGCUGCUCAUCAGGGUAUCCACGGAGGAGAAGACCUAAUCUCACUCUGACUCCAGGAUAUUCUUGGAAUAGUAAAUAACUUCUUUGGUUUAGAACUGUUAAUACUACCUACUACUUUGACUCUCCUGGAUGUAUCGUACUUUUUAAAUAAAAAAUGUGUAACAAGCUAACAAACAAAAAUAAAAAAUCUACUUGCUUUAUAACAAAUAACUAAUAUUUUAAUGUUUUUACAAAAGCAAUUCCUUUCAGGUACUCUGAUUAACUUUUAAGUGACAUAAAAAAGUCUCAGCAUUCUUUAAUACCAAUAUUUUGCACAAUUUAAGAUACAGCCAUUGAGUUUAACCUUUUAAGGAAAAAAAAAAAGAA